GCGGGGGCUGGCCGUGCGAGCGGGGUGGCGGACAGACGAGGCGGGCAGAUGGCAGACAGCAUAGAAGAUCUAAAAGACAUUUGGAAGUGCCUUGACUAUAGAGGCCUCCUCCUGUAUGCCUGCCAUGUAGUG